rnacentral:rRNA from 1 species
CCUACGGGAGGCAGCAGUGAGGAAUAUUGGUCAAUGGACGGGAGCCUGAACCAGCCAAGCCGCGUGAGGGAAGAAGGUACAGCGUAUCGUAAACCUCUUUUGUCAGAGAACAAAGGCGGGGACUAGUCCCCGGAUGAGGGUACCUGAAGAAAAAGCAUCGGCUAACUCCGUGCCAGCAGCCGCGGUAAUACGGAGGAUGCGAGCGUUAUCCGGAUUUAUUGGGUUUAAAGGGUGCGCAGGCGGCCGGUUAAGUCAGCGGUAAAAUCCCGGGGCUCAACCCCGGCAAGCCGUUGAAACUGGCGGGCUGGAGAUGGAGAGAAGUACGCGGAAUGCGCGGUGUAGCGGUGAAAUGCUUAGAUAUCGCGCAGAACCCCGAUUGCGAAGGCAGCGUACCGGCUCCAUACUGACGCUGAGGCACGAAAGCGUGGGUAGCGAACAGGAUUAGAUACCCUUGUAGUC